GUCUUUUUGAGUUUAAUUUAAGGUCUGAUCUGCCCACUGAUAAUAUUUAAGGGCCGCAGUAUUCUGACUGUGCAAAGGUAGCAUAAUCAUUAGUCUUUUAAUUGAGGGCUUGUAUGAAUGAUUGGACGAGAUAUAAUCUGUCUCAUAAAAAUUUAAGUAGAAUUUUAUUUUUUAGUUAAAAAGCUAAAAUAAAUUUAAAAGACGAGAAGACCCUAUAGAUCUUUAUAAUUUAUUUAUUAAUUUUUUUAGGUUAUUUUUUAAUUUUAUAAAUAAAAUUAUUUUGUUGGGGUGACAGUGAAAUUUAAAAAACUUUCAUAAUUUUUAUUACAUUGAUUUAUGAAAAAUUGAUCCAUUUUUAGUGAUUAAGAAUUUAAGUUACCUUAGGGAUAACAGCGUAAUUAUUUUGGAGAGUUCUUAUCGAUAAAAUAGUUUGCGACCUCGAUGUUGGAUUAAGAUUAAUUCUGGGUGUAGCAGUUCAGGUUAUUAAGUCUGUUCGACUUUUAAUUUCUU
rnacentral:rRNA from 1 species